rnacentral:lncRNA from 1 species
ACAGAAAGGAAACAGAGGCUCAGAGAAGCUAAGACAUUUGCACAGGACCACAGCUGGGCUGAGAAGAAAAAUUGAAUACUGAUGAGAAGGAAGAUGGAUAGAAGACAGAGAUAUGCAACUGGGACUCUAACACAAAUGCCAUUCUCCCUGGGAAGGGACUAGCCCAGUCAGCAGCCACCUCACUCCAUGAGUUGGUUCUGAGGCCCCCUCUGUGCCAGGCAGCUCGGGACACAAGGUGAAUUAGAUCCAACCUCACAGCCAUGUGAGGCAGAAGAGUGACAGAGGCUCUGUCACCAGAAGAGCAAGCAUUUGAAUGGGCUGUCAGAUGGAGAGCCCUAGCUCUUUCUGUUCUAGGUUCCCUCCCUCUGCUGCAGUUGGGAGAGGCUGGGCUGGGAAGCCCACAUGAGCCGUUGCAGCUCCCUGCAAGGGACUCUCACCUCCUCUCUCAGGCCUCCUCUCCCUGGGAUCCUGGCCUGGCCCUUCACACCUUUCUCCAACUCCAUCAUGACUGCAGGCUUUGGCCUUCUCUCAGGAAAAGAAUGAAUUUUUCUCCACAAAAUUCUACAAUCUCUUCCAGUCUCUCCUUUUAGCUACUCUCAUAUCCAUUCACCAAAGUGAUAACAGAAGACCACAAGUCAGAUGACUCACAUAUUCACCUAUUCAAUAAACACUCCAGAGCAUU